AGGUUCUUAGUUUAAAGAAAACAUUUGAUUUCGGCUCAAAAACUUAUGGUUUAAGCCCAUAAUUACCUU
rnacentral:tRNA from 1 species